rnacentral:tRNA from 1 species
GGGAGUAGCCAAGUGGUAAGGCAUUAGCUUCCCAAGCUAACAUUCGCGAGUUCGAGUCUCGUCUCCC